GACGAACGCUGGCGGCGUGCCUAAUACAUGCAAGUCGAACGCAGUGGGGACGGGUGAGUAACACGUGGGUAACCUCCCAUCAGAGGGGAUAACACUUGGAAACAGGUGCUAAACCGAUACUGAUGGAUGGACCCGCGGUGCAUUAGCUAGUUGGUGAGGUAACGGCUCACCAAGGCCACGAUGCAUAGCCGACCUGAGAGGAUGACCGGCCACACUGGGACUGAGACACGGCCCAGACUCCUACGGGAGGCAGCAGUAGGGAAUAUUGGGCAAUGGACGAAAGUCUGACCGAGCAACGCCGCGUGAAUGAAGAAGGUUUUCGGAUCGUAAAACACUGUUGUUGGGGAAGCGUUAUCUAACCAGAAAGCACCGGCUAACUACGUGCCAGCCGCCGCGGUAAUUC
rnacentral:rRNA from 1 species